rnacentral:rRNA from 1 species
UACGUAGGGUGCAAGCGUUGUCCGGAAUUAUUGGGCGUAAAGAGCUCGUAGGCGGUCUGUCGCGUCGAAUGUGAAAACCCGGGGCUCAACCCCGGGCCUGCAUUCGAUACGGGCAGACUAGAGUUCGGUAGGGGAGUCUGGAAUUCCUGGUGUAGCGGUGAAAUGCGCAGAUAUCAGGAGGAACACCGGUGGCGAAGGCGGGACUCUGGGCCGAUACUGACGCUGAGGAGCGAAAGCGUGGGUAGCAAACAGG